GCCUUCAUUUUCAUUACAUUCUAAAAAGUCUUUAAUUUCUUUCUUUAUUUCUUCCUUGACCACGUUAGCAUUGAGUAAAGAGUUGUUCAACUUCCAUGUGUAUGUGUGCUCUAUGUGAUUUUUGCUGUUAUUGAAGUCUAUGGUGAUCUGAUAGGAUGCAUGGGAUUAUUUCCAUCUUCUUGUAUCUGUUGAAGCCGGUUUUAUGACUGAUUAUAUGGCCAGUUUUGGAGAAGGAAACAUGAGGUACUGAAAAGAAGGUAUAUUCUUUUGUUUUAAGAUGAAAUGUUCUAUAAGAAUCUAUUAAGGCCAUUUGGUUCAUAACUGUGGUUAGUUGUACUGUGUCUCUGUUUAGUUUCUGUUUCUAUGAUCUGUCUAUUGACGAGAAUUGGGUGUUGAAGAUUGACAGGAAAUGCAUGAAUAUGCAUUCCUGAAUCUCUACAUGAACUAUUGUGGUUUUCCGCCUAUGUGCCUUGUAAAAGACUUCUGGGACAGGCAGGAACUGG
rnacentral:lncRNA from 1 species